GUGCAAUCUGUGUCGCAACAACAGUUUAUGUCACAGCUUCCGUACUAUAUAAACAAAAAGUAUUAUAUAUAAGAAACACAAAUACAAUGGAUUCCAUAAAUAAAUUACCCUAAGGAUUAGGGAUAUAUAAAAACAAAGAACGAUUAGGUACUUACGAUUAGAUCACAG